UUUAAUGAGAGUUUGAUCCUGGCUCAGGACGAACGCUGGCGGCGUGCCUAAUACAUGCAAGUAGAACGCUGAGGUUUGGUGUUUACACUAGACUGAUGAGUUGCGAACGGGUGAGUAACGCGUAGGUAACCUGCCUCAUAGCGGGGGAUAACUAUUGGAAACGAUAGCUAAUACCGCAUAAGAGUAAUUAACACAUGUUAGUUAUUUAAAAGGAGCAAUUGCUUCACUGUGAGAUGGACCUGCGUUGUAUUAGCUAGUUGGUGAGGUAAAGGCUCACCAAGGCGA
rnacentral:rRNA from 1 species